rnacentral:rRNA from 1 species
AUGAACGCUGGCGGCGUGCUUCAGACAUGCAAGUCGUACGUGAAAGUCUCUUCGGAGAUGAGUAAAGUGGCGCACGGGUGAGUAAUACUUGGGUAACGCACCCUUUUGCUGGGGAUAACUAUUGGAAACGAUAGCUAAUACCGAAUGGUCCUAUAUAUUCGCAUGAGUAUGUAGGUAAAGCCGAAAGGCGCGAAAGGAUCGGCCCAAGUCCCAUUAGCUAGUUGGUGAGGUAAAGGCUUACCAAGGCGACGAUGGGUAGCUGGUCUGAGAGGAUGAUCAGCCACACUGGUACUGGAAUACGGACCAGACUCCUACAGGAGGCAGCAGUUAGGAAUUUUGCGCAAUGGGGGAAACCCUGACGCAGCAACGCCGCGUGAGUGAAGAAGGCCUUCGGGUUGUAAAGCUCUUUCAGAAGUGAAGAAGUUGACGGUAACUUCAGAAGAAGCACCGGCUAACUCCGUGCCAGCAGCCGCGGUAAUACGGAGGGUGCGAGCGUUAUUCGGAAUGACUGGGCGUAAAGCGCGCGUAGGCGGCUUUUUAAGUCUGAUGUGAAAGCCCCGAACUCAAUUUGGGAAGUGCAUUGGAUACUGAAGAGCUAGAGUACAGGAGAGGAGAGCGGAAUUCCAGGUGUAGAGGUGAAAUUCGUAGAUAUCUGGAGGAACAACGGAGGCGAAGGCGGCUCUCUGGACUGUAACUGACGCUGAGGUGCGAAAGCGUGGGUAGCAAACAGGAUUAGAUACCCUGGUAGUCCACGCCGUAAACGAUGAACACUAGACGUCGGAAGUUCUUACCCUUUCGGUGUCGCAGCUAACGCAUUAAGUGUUCCGCCUGGGGACUACGGUCGCAAGAUUAAAACUCAAAGAAAUUGACGGGGGCCCGCACAAGCGGUGGAGUAUGUUGUUUAAUUCGAGGCAACGCGAAAAACCUUACCUGGGCUUGACAUCCCGCGCAACCCUGUGAAAGCAGGCGUUCCCUUCGGGGACGCGGUGACAGGUGCUGCAUGGCUGUCGUCAGCUCGUGUCGUGAGAUGUUGGGUUAAGUCCCGCAACGAGCGCAACCCUUGUUGCCUAGUUGCCAGCAUUUAAGUUGGGCACUCUAACGAAGACCGCUGCCGAUAACGGGGAGGAAGGAUGGGGAUGACGUCAAGUCAGCAUGGCCCUUUAUGUCCAGGGCUACAAACGUACUACAAUGGUCAGGUACAGAGCCGUCGCAAAGCUCGCUGAGGGAAGCUAAUCGCAGAAAAAGCCUGGUCCUCAGUUCGGAUUGGAGUCUGCAACUCAACUACAUGAAGCUGGAAUCGCUAGUAAUCGCGGAUCAGAACGCCGCGGUGAAUACGUUCCCGGGCCUUGUACACACCGCCCGUCACAUCACGAAAGUGGGCUGUACUAGAAGUCGGUGGGCUAACCGCAAGGGAGCAGCCGCCCAAGGUAUAACUCAUGAUUGGGGUG